rnacentral:rRNA from 1 species
GACAGAGGGUGCAAACGUUGUUCGGAAUUACUGGGCGUAAAGCGCGUGUAGGCGGCCAUCUAAGUCGGGCGUGAAAUCCCACGGCUCAACCGUGGAAGUGCACUCGAAACUGGAUGGCUAGAGUCCUGGAGAGGAAGGUGGAAUGCUUGGUGUAGAGGUGAAAUUCGUAGAUAUCAAGCAGAACACCGGUGGCGAAGGCGGCCUUCUGGACAGUGACUGACGCUGAGACGCGAAAGCGUGGGGAGCAAACAGG